rnacentral:rRNA from 1 species
UCGUCAGCUCGUGUCGUGAGAUGUUGGGUUAAGUCCCGCAACGAGCGCAACCCUUGAUCUUAGUUGCCAUCAUUAAGUUGGGCACUCUAAGGUGACUGCCGGUGACAAACCGGAGGAAGGUGGGGAUGACGUCAAAUCAUCAUGCCCCUUAUGACCUGGGCUACACACGUGCUACAAUGGACGGUACAAAGAGCUGCAAGACCGCGAGGUGGAGCUAAUCUCAUAAAACCGUUCUCAGUUCGGAUUGUAGGCUGCAACU